rnacentral:rRNA from 1 species
UGCUAAUACCGUAUAACAAUCAAAACCGCAUGGUUUUGAUUUGAAAGGCGCUUUCGGGUGUCGCUGAUGGAUGGACCCGCGGUGCAUUAGCUAGUUGGUGAGGUAACGGCUCACCAAGGCCACGAUGCAUAGCCGACCUGAGAGGGUGAUCGGCCACAUUGGGACUGAGACACGGUCCAAAUUUAUACGGGAGGCAGCAGUAGGGAAUCUUCGGCAAUGGACGAAAGUCUGACCGAGCAACGCCGCGUGAGUGAAGAAGGUUUUCGGAUCGUAAAACUCUGUUGUUAGAGAAGAACAAGGAUGAGAGUAACUGUUCAUCCCUUGACGGUAUCUAACCAGAAAGCCACGGCUAACUACGUGCCAGCAGCCGCGGUAAUACGUAGGUGGCAAGCGUUGUCCGGAUUUAUUGGGCGUAAAGCGAGCGCAGGCGGUUUCUUAAGUCUGAUGUGAAAGCCCCCGGCUCAACCGGGGAGGGUCAUUGGAAACUGGGAGACUUGAGUGCAGAAGAGGAGAGUGGAAUUCCAUGUGUAGCGGUGAAAUGCGUAGAUAUAUGGAGGAACACCAGUGGCGAAGGCGGCUCUCUGGUCUGUAACUGACGCUGAGGCUCGAAAGCGUGGGGAGCAUACAGGAUUAGAUACCCUGGUAGUCCACGCCGUAAACGAUGAGUG